UAGGUGGCAAGCGUUGUCCGGAAUUAUUGGGCGUAAAGGGCUCGCAGGCGGUUUCUUAAGUCUGAUGUGAAAGCCCCCGGCUCAACCGGGGAGGGUCAUUGGAAACUGGGGAACUUGAGUGCAGAAGAGGAGAGUGGAAUUCCACGUGUAGCGGUGAAAUGCGUAGAGAUGUGGAGGAACACCAGUGGCGAAGGCGACUCUCUGGUCUGUAACUGACGCUGAGGAGCGAAAGCGUGGGGAGCGAACAGGAUUAGAUACCCUGGUAGUCCACGCCGUAAACGAUGAGUGCUAAGUGUUAGGGGGUUUCCGCCCCUUAGUGCUGCAGCUAACGCAUUAAGCACUCCGCCUGGGGAGUACGGUCGCAAGACUGAACUCAAGGAAUUGACGGGGGCCCGCACAGCGGUGGAGCAUGUGGUUUAAUUCGAAGCA
rnacentral:rRNA from 1 species